GUCAUUUUUUAUCAUAGAGACAUAAGUAAUAUAUCAAAUGAAACUAUAGAAUGUCUUCUUUUUUUUGUGUACACUCACAAUCAAAAUAAAACUUUGUGCUUUUUAAAAAUAAAUAAAAUAUACAGGGUGUGCUGUCCUGCCAUCUCCGUCUCUGCAAACAUCAUUCUAAAACGUCACUAAAAGUAACUAAAAUAGACGGCUUAUACAUGCUACAUGGACAUGAGAGAUAUGUCUUUGCAAAGCUUUAAGUGUCUACUUUUAAACGAAACAAAUAUACAGCAUGCUUGUAUACCUGUUACUUUCCUGUCAGUUAUGCAUAGGUAAUGGUAUGAGAGUAGUAUCUUAUAUGCUAAUAAUAACAGGGUUUUUUUUUUUUUUUUACAAUUUGUUUUUUUAGGAAUGUGGAUCCAUCACUCUCGCAUUCACCUGCAAUUCCCACUAAGAGGGCACCCAGCAACACAGGCGGAAAUGAGAAAGACUAUAGCCCUAAUGAGAGUGCUCCAAAACCCCUUGCAAAAAAGGCCAAGAAAAACAUUCAGACAAGCAACAGGCAUUCAGCUCUGUCAUGGAAAACAGAUAAUGACACUGACAUGGUUCCACAGACUCUGAGAUUCCUACCUGCACGGGAACCUGGACCACAGCUGCGUCCUGCUGAUGAACACACUCCUAAGAGUCUCUUCAAAAUGUUCAAAAUGCAAGGAAUAAUGCCACCGCUGGUCGUCGGAACUGCAUGCUUUGCAAAGUACAGCUUGGUAAAAGGCAAGACACACCUUGGAAAUGCCAGGCAUGUGACAUUUUCUUGUGUCUUCAGUUGAAAAGGAACUGUUUUCAAAAAUGGCACACAGAUGUGUGACUGUUCAGAUUCUCUGUUCACCACCUCUCACUGACCAUUGGGCUGCAAAGAUUAUCUAUAUGUGAUCAAGCAGGUUAUGUAUAGGGUGUAAAAGUGGGCUUUUUUUAUAAACCUUACCUUUAUUUGCCUGUAUACACAAAAUGUGCCUUUGACCCUAGUUUAUAUGUGGAUUAUAUUGUUAACUUUAUUUUAAAUAAAAAAGAAAAAAAACAA